rnacentral:tRNA from 2 species
GCGGGAAGCCUGCUGGUAGGCCGCGCGGUCUCAUAAGCCGCUGCGACGAAGGUUCGAUUCCUUCUCCCGCA